rnacentral:tRNA from 1 species
UGGCCGAACUGGUAAAGGCAUCGCCGAUUACAGGCGAAGAUGCGGGUUCGAGUCCCGC